GCACGCAUCUCUUUAGACAUUAGGCACAAAAAAGAGAAUCUGCGAGUUAAGAUCCGAUUAUGGAGACAAGUUCUUCUCUUGUGUUUUUCACCCUAGAGUUCCCGAUUACUUGAUCGUCGGUAGCUACAAGUCGUUGAAGCUAUGGAAGUGGGUUGAAAACACAGGCAACUAUCUACCGACUCAUGAAGACCGCAUCUCAGCUCUCGCGGACUCGCCUUCAAGGGGAAUAAUUGCGUCUGGUAGCUUCGACAACACCAUUAAGAUUUGGAAGUAAAUAAACACUAUUAUAUGAUCGUGAUUCGCUAGGCAUAUUGAUUUUUAUAUACAUACAUGCAAAAAACAGUGUACAGUAGAGUAAAAACAUACUACAGUGUACAGUAGAGUGAAAACAUACUACAGUGUACAGUAGAGUAAAAACUGUACUGAAAUUUAAAAUAACUGAACUACCUGAAUUAACUGAA